rnacentral:lncRNA from 10 species
AAAUAUGUCUAAAGUUUUAUUAAAAAUUGGGUUUAACAUUAAUAAUACAUUAAUACAAUAAUAAUAAUAAUGCAAUAAUAUACAGUCUGAAAAGGGGAGGCAUGAAUAAUCCACCUCUUGUUUAGCUUAUCAUCAAAAAAUAACCAUAAAAAUGAGCAAUCAGCAGCCCUCGGGGCUGCCCAUCUAUGGAGUAGCCAUUCUUUUAUUCCUUUACUUUCUUAAUAAACUUGCUUUCACUUUGUGCUGCAGACUCACCCUGAAUUCUUUCUUGGCAUGAGAUCCACCAACCCUCUUGGGGUCUGGAUCAGGACCCCUUUUUCCUGUAACACUUCCUUUGUUGGCCUGACAAAUCUGUUUUGUCGUUGUUGUUGUGUUUUUUGUUUUUUGAGACCGUCUCGCUCUGUUGCCCAGGCUGGAGUGCAGUGGUGUAGUCACAGCUCACUGAAGCCUCCACCUCCCAGGCUCAAGCGAUCCUACCACCCGGCCUCCUGAGUAUCUGAAACUGCAGAGGUGCACUACCAUGCCUAACUAAUUUUUAUAUUUUUUGUAGAGAUAGGGUUUCAUCAUGCUGCCCAAGCCAAGAAUUCCUGGCCUCGAGCGAUCCACCCGCCUCAGCCUCCCAGAGUGCUGGGAUUAUAAGCGUGAGCCACCACGCCCAGCCCAAAUCUCUUUAUUAUUCUAGUUCCAGCAUAAAGGAAGCCUGAUUCGGCACACAGUCUAGGAAAGCCACAGAUCUGAGGAUGCAGGAGGAGAAACAAGGCAAUUUUCUAAAGCUAGAAGACCAUAAAUUGUCUCCUUCCCAUGUUAGCAAACCAAAGUCUCUGGGUGUUACUGACUGGCUGCCAACACUUGGGUUUUUAAUUAGACCAGAUCUGGCUCUGUUACAGGUGGUCUUCUGCAGACACAUGAGGUGGUUGGCCCAGGGUUGUGGCAUCCGGCAGCCUCAGCUGAGUACGUGCAGUGCCCGAACCAGGGUGGAGUCACCCAGUUAGCCAUGUGCAGUGUGCCUCGCGCGACAGCAGCCUAGGAGACCAGACAGGUUGAUGACUCAUGCUACCUCCAUGCUAGCACUCACCACGCUGCACUACAAAUGCCAGUUUUAUGUUCUCUCCCAGUAGACAUGAGUGACUAGAGCGUUUCUUUGUCAAUGUUAUGUCUCCAGUCACCCAGCCCCUGGCCCACUGUUGGAAACAGAAAGUAUAAACCAAAAAUAAAAUUCUAAGCCCUCCAAUUGACUGAAUAGACGCCCCCUUCUUAGCCUGGGGACCCAAAGAAACCUGAAAAACUAGUUCAGGCCACGAUGGGAAGGUGGAGUCAGACAUGCCAUAUCCUCUUCUCCCUUUGGAGUUCAGGCGCAACUGACCAACAUUAACAGUAAAACAGAGAUCCUCAGACUGACAAAACAGGCUCUCUGUGGCAAUAAGAUACCAAAUUCCAACCCAACUCUAGUAUAACACCACAUGACAGAUAAGAAAGGAAAUCACAGUAUUUUACCCCAGAAUAUGUUUUUUACCAUAUUUUGAGAAAUGACCCUACACAGCUAUCUUUUGUGGGGGAAAAUUUGCAUCUGUAAAGAAUCUCUGUUAACAUAACUAGAUCUAUUCCUUUCCAGGCCCUUCCCAUCCUGAAGAGAUUAACUGAGAGUCUAGCACCUUUUAAAGGUCUAAAUAGGAAACAUUUGCCAUCAAUUGUCACUAAGGAUAGCCACCUAAAUACUUUCUCUGGAUAAUAAGAACCUUGAUCCCCACAACCCCUUAUCUUAAUCCACACACUCCUCUCUCUUGAUUCCAGGUCUUUAGAUAAUAACUUAACUCUUUUGACCAACUGCCAAUUAAAAAAAUAUUUAAAUCCACCUAUGACCUGUAAGCUCCCCAACUCCCACCUCCCCCCACCCCACUUCAAGUUGUUCUGCCUUUCUGGACCCAACUAAUGUAUAUGUCAUAUGUAUUAAUUGAUGUCUUAAUUGUUGCUUGACUAAAAUGAGAUGACGCAGCGAAGGGUCUGGCAUAAUGUGUCUGGCACAUAAGAGCUGCUCAGCAAAUUACAGCUCUCAUCCUAGGGUCACAUAAGGCUGAAUAGUGGGCAGGAAUCUUUCUCCCAAGAACAGGGACAGAUGCCUCUUCAUAAAGCCCAAUAUAACUGAUAUAACUGCUACAAAGUGUGCCAGGGCCGCAUCUUUCCAGCAAGGAGCUGAUACCCCACACCUCCUAAUCAGCAAGCUGCACUCAUAGCCUUUUUCCCAUAGAGACAGCAAUCUGGGAGUACCCACUGCCUUGCACCCAGCAGUUCUCCAUGGGACAAGCUGUACCUAACUGUGUAUGGGCAGUGGGAGCAGGCAGCAGUUCACAGUCUCAUCUAAUCCUAGGUUUUAUUGUUACCUUUGUUUCCCAGAGGAGGUUGCACAGAUAGGAAAUUGUAACAUCAGGAUGCAGCCAGAGCCGGUGGGAUCCAGAAUACAGGCUCUUCCUCCAGCUCUGGGCAACCCCACUCAUCACUCUGAGCCCUAGCUGUCUGUUCCUUUGAAGCCUCACUGCCACUGACUCCUCUUUAAAGCCCAUUUUUAUUUGUUGUGAGUGUUUGGGUUUUGCACCCCUAGCUAGACUAUAAAUGCUAUGAAGGCAGAGAGUGUGCCUUACAGAGCUGGGGUUUAUAAUCAGGGCUCAAUGAAAUCUGGUCAAGGAAUUAUAGAAUGGACCUGUCUAAACACCAACAGUGCUGCUCCCCAGAGACCCGGGUUUCUGCAAGAAAUUCAGAGGCAAGUUUUUAUUCCCUCUGAGAAAACCCUAGCGGCUCCCACGGGCUUCCUCCCUCAGGUGCUCAACAUCUGCUCAACAAUCCUGGUUCUGGCCAGGAGCUUCUGGUGAGCUCCACGACAGCUGCAGAGGGAGGAGGGAGCAAGAAGAAAAGUAGAUGGGCAAGGAAACACCCACCUCAUCCACCAGGUGAAGUUUCCAGCAACCAUUUUGUUCUACAAGACUCUACCUAGAGGCAAAUUUUCCAUGAAGCUGACAAACCAAAGGCUUCAAGGCUCCUCACUUGCCCAGACUCCAGGCCCAAGGAAGGCAACAGCUAUGUGUUUACAUGGCUAUUUUUUUUUUUUGUAAAAAUUUGUAAAAGAAGCUAUCUUAACCACAAUUGGUUAAAAUAAACCCCUGUAUCUUUCUACCUUGAUUUCCCCUCCUGAAGCUUUAGAGUGGCUGGAGGCAACAGGAGGUCCAGCUAAGGGGGAGUUGAGGUGUAGAUACACUACUUUUGGGGAAAUCACCUGAGGUCAGGAGUUCAAGACCCACCUGGACAACAUGGCAAAACCCUGUCUCUCCUAAAAAUACAAAAAUUAGCCAGGUGUGGUGGUGGGCGCCUGUAAUCCCACCUACUUGGGAGGCUGAGGCAGGAGAAUUGCUUGAACCCGAGAGGCAGCUGUGGCAGUGCGCUGAGAUCACGCCACUGCACUCUAGCCUAGGCGACAGAGUGAGACCAUUCUCAAAAAAAAAAAAAAAAGUGUAGAUACACUACUUUUUUUGUAUUUAUAUGGUUUGUAGACACUUUCAUAUUUAGUUAAAUUAUUGAUAGUCCCCUCAGUGUAGAAUGGCUUCCAGGAGCACUGGUAUCACCCACUGUACCUGGCAUCUUGUUAGAAGUACAAAGCCAGAGUUCAGAUCACCAUACUCAUGUUGCCUGACUCACCUACAUGCAUAUCAGUGGUAGAGGGAAGACAAGGUCUGAAAUGCAGUUUGAAGAUCGUCUAUGGAAACCUCCUCCAACUAUCAGAGUUAACUAAUAUAAACGUUACAUCCUUUUUAAAAUGUUGUAAUGUCUUUGAUAUUUGUCGGCUUUAGAACAUUUUUAAUUUGUUGUGAUUUAUCUUCUCAUUCAUUCCAAGAAAUGAUUUUUUUGUGAGUAAUCUUGUUUUCUUAAAGAAGGAUUUCCAAAUGGUAUAACAUUCAAGCCCCACAAAAAUUGCACUUGUCCCUGAUCCUAUCCCCUUAUUACAGCUGACCCAGGUUGGAGCCCAUAUUCUUUCACACUGAAAUUUAGAUUCCACUCAGAAACUGAAGUUUCUGUGUGGCUAGAACUGUAACACAUAAACUUUAAAGCCACAAGGUGACCAUGUUUCUGCCUGUGGGUGAAAUACUAGAGAAAGCUGGGAGGCAGAGAGGCCAG